rnacentral:scRNA from 1 species
GGAGCAACAGUUCUGCGUGAAGCGGGUCAGGGGAGGAAUCCAGCAGCCCUAAGCGAUUUGAAUUGUGUGCUCUUUU